CUCCAGCAGACCCUCCCUCCCAGGCCCUCCUACUUCCUGGACAGCAUCCAUGUUGAAACAUGGAUGCUGUCCAGGAAGUAGGAGGGUCUGGGAGGGAGGGUUUGCUGGAG